GCGGCAAGAGCUCAACUUUGGAAUCGCUCCGGCGAGUUGUAGUCUGGAGGUGGCCACCACGAGGUGUUCUAGCAGCAGGCAAGUCCUUUGGAACAAGGCGCCAGCGAGGGUGACAGCCCCGUACCUGCUUUUGCUAGUGCUUCCUGUGGCCCACCGACGAGUCGAGUUGUUUGGGAAUGCAGCUCUAAGUGGGUGGUAAAUUCCAUCUAAGGCUAAAUAUUGGCGAGAGACCGAUAGCGAACAAGUACAGUGAUGGAAAGAUGAAAAGCACUUUGAAAAGAGAGUGAAACAGUACGUGAAAUUGUUGAAAGGGAAGGGCUUGCACCCAGACACGGUUUCGGCCGGGCCAGCAUCAAGUAGAACGGGGUUAAAAGACCUGGGGAAUGUAGCUACCUCUUGGUAGUGUUAUAGCCCUUGGGUGAUGACCCCUGUUUUGCUUGAGGACAGCGGUCUCUAGGAUGCUGGCGCAAUGGUUGCAAGCCACCCGUCUUGAACACGGACCA
rnacentral:rRNA from 1 species